CUCGGGGGUACCCCGGAGGGCUGUGGAGCCGAUAGGAUUUGGGCUGCUGGGGGGGCGCCGUGGGGUCCUGGGAGCUGUCGGGGUGCUGUUGGGAUGAUAAGGGGGCCUCGUGGAUUUUGUGGGGAGCCUCUGGGGGGCUGUGGAGGGCUGUAUAGAACUAUAGACGGGCUAUUGAAGCUGUAGGGGGGCUGUGGGACAUAUAGGGGUGCAUAAGUGGGCAUAGGGAACUCUGGGGUCCAUAGGGUCUGUGGGGGAUGGUGUUGCUACAGGAGUCCUUGGAGCUCUAAGGGGGUGUAGAGCAAACAGAGGCGAUGACAGGGCCUGUAUGUGAGAAAUGGGCGCUAUAGGAAAAGAUAUCCCUUUGAUAUUUCCAAAGAUGUUUCCCUUUGGAAAUUAACUCUUCCCUCCCUCUGACAGCUUGGAGAAAGUCGUGAGCUGAGGGACGCAGCCUUCUGUCCGUACCGGCACUGCAGGAGAAGGGCUGGCAGAAGGGGCACCCGCGCAGGCUCAGAUUGCACACAGAAGUGUGCACACAGUGCUCCCAGAAGCAUCAGUUGGGACAGAAAGAGUGGCUCCAGCCCCCCUCCCCCCCCCAACUCCAGGCAGUCACGUGCUCAUGUUCAGUAGUUCCACUACAGGGGGCUACAGGUGUCUGUAAGUAAUCCUAGGAGCUGUAGAGCUUCUAUAGACAGUCCUGGGAGCUUUGGGUAGGCUGUGAAAUGCUGCAGAGGUCCUGGGGUCUGUGGGUUGCUGUAGGUGCUCAUGGGAUCUCUGGGGUGCUGUGGGGUGCUCGAAGGGUCUUGGGAGGGCGGCUGCGAGCGUCCUAUAAGCAGAUGUGGGAGCUAUAGAGGGAGUCUGUAGGGGUGCUAUGAGAGUCCUGGGAUUUAUGUGGGGGGUCAGUAAGGCCACAGGCAGAGGAAUGGGGCCACAGGGGGUGACUGGGACACCAGGGGGUGACAGUGAUGUAGGGCUGCCCUACCCCCUACCAUGUUUUCUCAGGCAGAGCCACACGUGCUGGGCCUGCCCACAUGCCUGGCGCUGCUCCGUGUCCGUAGAGGAGGAGCACGCUGCCAUUCUGCGCCCCUGUGGUGCCCCCCCUGUGGGACCGACCCCCGUGUAUGACAGAACCGCCCCUGUGCUGUGCACCUGCAACGCACCCUGAGGAAUGACUACCCCUCCUCAAAAAUGACCACAGGAGCUGGGGGGCUUCCUGCAGCCCCAUUAAAGCCCCCAUGGUGGCAGGCAAGAAAAGGAACCUAGGUUUCUUACUGCUUUUCAAUGGAAAACAAUUUCCUCUAUGCAUUCCAAGUCCGUUACAGAGUUUCAUACGAUUUGCUCCCCUCUGUUAGAAUCAGUGUUUCUGAAAUACUUUGCAGCCUUACCAACCUCAAGUUCUGGGUCAAUGAAGUCUGAGGUCUGCUUAGAAAUACUCUGAACCCAGAACAGCGUUUCCUUCCCACAAGUCUUCCAAAAGAGUAACUUUUCCUACCACGUUAGCAUUAAUUUUAGACUGUCGUGGCAAGAGUUCAGAGAAGGAGCAAAUCAAGUGUGUCUAAUCGAAAACUAGAAGGGGUGAAAGGGAGGGGGGUGGGGGGAUGAGGAUUGGAAUGUGAAGCACAACCGCAGCUUGGCCCUGUACCGGCAUGCCUGAGGAGCCCCUCGGCCCUGUUUCUCAGCUGAAGCCCAGUCCUCUUUCCAACCUUAGAAACAAACUGAAUGAAAUAGGAGGCUUUGCUCCAGAAGGACCAGGUAAAGGCAGUGACACAGGUUUAAGUUUGGCUGUAUGGAGAUCUAAAGAACUCAAAAUAAAUGCAAAAGUUUAAAAAUAAAGAGUCUGAUUUUAAAAUGUACCCAUUGCGAGAGAGCUUUGACACCUCUGCCAUCUUUUUUACUGCCUUCUAUCACAGAAUGCACGCAGGGCAUUUUCAAUUACUUUAAUUGAAGGUUAUUGUGCACCAAGCCCUGCCAGCCAUUCCACAACAGUAUCUGUAAUCGCCAGCAGUUUCUUAUUUGUGUUCCAAGUAAGACUAUUUUCAGGUAUUUUACUGGAUAAAAAGGGAAUAAAGUAGUGCAUUUAGAUUGAAUAAAAGGUGGUAAGAAGCUCAGUUUUCUCACUCCUCGCAAUAACAUAAUCAUCGCACCAGCAUUAUUUACCUUUGUAAAACUUCAAAACUCUUUCUGGUGUAACGCUGGGACUCAAGUCCCUGUGCUUUCUUUCAUACCUUUAACUAGAGAUCUUGAAUCCCAAGAAUUUAGGCACCAAGGAGAACAACAGUAACACCAUCUCUCACACAGGUCCAGUCUGUCCUCAGCAGCAAAGGAGACUCGCUAGGGACAGACUAUAUGAACUUCCCUCGCCCCCUUUCCUCUGCUAAGCCUUGGGGGAUCAGCUAACCUCUGCAAGCUACCAAGAGGAAUCCAGGGUGCAUCGACUGAAUCCAAACUGCAUCUCCUGAGCUAGCAGGGGGAUGGCAGGUGAUACGUGCUCUGCGCUUCUGCCUGAAGAGCUCAGCCAGGAGGUGGCAGCGCCUCUUGUACAGCACGCGGCCUGCAGGAAAAGAAGAGAUGGAGUUCUGGCAGCAGUUGAUAAUACAACGUUGUCAUAGGUCAUUUUUAAUAAUUGAAAGAACAAUAAAAACUAUGUGUUUUAAUUCAGGAUUAACUUUAAGCCUGUUGUUUAUACAGAGGACAGUCAGCGUACGACCAUCUUCUAUUUGCUGUAUUAGAGAAGUCUCCAUCCAGCAAGAGGUCUCAUGGUUCCUACUGUACAAUGGCAGGGGCAGAGUCCAUUUCAGACUCUAUCAAUACCUCAAAUUAC
ensembl:lncRNA